rnacentral:lncRNA from 1 species
CUUUUUGGUCUUUCCUGCUGCCUUGUGAAGAAGGUGCUUGUUUCUUCUUUGCCUUCUGCCAUGAUUGCCAUGUGAAUCGCACCCCUGGAACUGUGCAGGGCCCACCUGUGUGGCCACACGCAGUGACCCUGAGCAAAGGAGUGACCACAGAAGUGCAUGGCAAAGCAGAAAGGUGUGACGUCUUGGAGGACGCGGGAGGAAAGCACGCCCAGCGGACAGGAGCCAUCACGCGGCUGCGGGCUGCUGCUGAGAACCUGGCGUGGGCCACCGUCGUCAGCAGCGUGGAGGUAACUGACGACCUUGGCCAAGAAGUUGGGUGGCAGCGUGGAGGUCAUGCUCAGAGGAGCCGAGGAGCAUGGACACCGUCUUCUCCUUCCAGCAGGCACAGGACACUUGUUAUUGCAGUCAGAGUCCAUCUGGAUAAUCCUGGAUAAAUCUCAUCUGGAGAUCCUUCACCAGAUCACAUCGGCAAUGACCUGUUCCCCAAAUAAGGCCCUGUGCACAGGUUCUGGGGGACAUAUCUUGUAAUUGAAGACGUCUCACCAUAGCGGCCAGCCGUGCAACCACUGGGCCUGUCUGUGCCUGAACAACACACUGGCCUGCCUUUGCCUGAACAAGACAGCCUUAGUCUCAAAGCUUGCAGAUGGGUGUGGCCUGGUAGAAAAUUCUCAAGACAACGGCGGAGCACGCUUGCCCCUAGGAGACCAAGUGGCCGGAAUGUUGAGAAUCAGCCUUUCGCAGAAAUCCCCUAAGCGGGAGGCAGCAGGCUGACUCCAUCAGCCCCAGGCAGGCUUCUGGGCCCUGCAGCUAUGGCUCUUCAUCCUUUUACAUGUUCUUCGAGAAUCAGCUGCACCCUGGAUGCUUCUGACAGCUCAGAGGACAUCAGCAUGAGGACAAGCACAGGGCUUGAUGGCUCGGAGGGAAAUGGAGUUGGAAGAUUUGGACUUAAUGUGCACACAUUUUAGAAAUAUCUUAACAAAUUUUAUUUUGCUGAUAUCUUUCUUUUUUGUGUGUGCCAAAGUGAUGGCCAGUACAAAUCCAUGUCUAAUUAAGUCCAGAAGAGCUCCUUCAAUAAGCGUAAGAUGAAAGUUAUGAGUGAUAAGAAAGCGUCAUGUCAGUUUAAUUGGCAGCAUUUUCUCUUUCUUAGUGGUUCAUAAAAUAAGGCAGUGCUUUGCUAUCGACGG